rnacentral:rRNA from 1 species
AGCUGUACGCUAGUGGCGGACGGGUGAGUAACGCGUGAGCAAUCUACCUUAGAGUGGGGGACAACAUUCGGAAACGGAUGCUAAUACCGCAUAAGACCACGAUACCACAUGGUGUCGAGGUCAAAGAAGUAAUUCGCUUUAAGAUGAGCUCGCGUCCCAUUAGCUAGUUGGUGAGGUAACGGCCCACCAAGGCUACGAUGGGUAGCCGACCUGAGAGGGUGAUCGGCCACACUGGAACUGAGACACGGUCCAGACUCCUACGGGAGGCAGCAGUGGGGAAUAUUGGGCAAUGGGCGAAAGCCUGACCCAGCAACGCCGCGUGAUUGAAGAAGGUCUUCGGAUUGUAAAAAUCUGUCCUAUGGGAAGAAAAAAAUGACGGUACCAUAGGAGGAAGCCCCGGCUAACUACGUGCCAGCAGCCGCGGUAAUACGUAGGGGGCAAGCGUUGUCCGGAAUUACUGGGCGUAAAGGGUGCGCAGGCGGUUUUUUAAGUCAGAUGUGAAAUACCCGGGCUUAACCUGGGGGGUGCAUUUGAAACUGGAAAACUUGAGUGCAGGAGAGGUAAGUGGAAUUCCUAGUGUAGCGGUGAAAUGCGUAGAUAUUAGGAGGAACACCAGUGGCGAAGGCGACUUACUGGACUGUAACUGACGCUGAGGCACGAAAGCGUGGGGAGCAAACAGGAUUAGAUACCCUGGUAGUCCACGCUGUAAACGAUGGAUACUAGGUGUAGGGGGCGAUAGUCCUCUGUGCCGCAGCUAACGCAAUAAGUAUCCCGCCUGGGGAGUACGAUCGCAAGGUUGAAACUCAAAGGAAUUGACGGGGGCCCGCACAAGCAGCGGAGCAUGUGGUUUAAUUCGAAGCAACGCGAAGAACCUUACCAAGGCUUGACAUCCUCUGACGCAUGCAGAAAUGUAUGUUCCCUUCGGGGCAGAGAGACAGGUGGUGCAUGGUUGUCGUCAGCUCGUGUCGUGAGAUGUUGGGUUAAGUCCCGCAACGAGCGCAACCCUUAUUGCUAGUUGCCAGCACGUAAUGGUGGGAACUCUAGUGAGACUGCCGGGGACAACUCGGAGGAAGGUGGGGACGACGUCAAAUCAUCAUGCCCCUUAUGUCUUGGGCUACACACGUGCUACAAUGGCCGGUACAAAGGGUAGCGAAACCGCAAGGCGAAGCGAAUCUCAAAAAGCCGGUCUCAGUUCGGAUCGUGGGCUGCAACCCGCCCACGUGAAGUCGGAGUUGCUAGUAAUCGCGAAUCAGCAUGUCGCGGUGAAUGCGUUCCCGGGCCU